GGAGGAUGGCUUGAACCCAGGAGGCGAAGGUUGCAGUGAGCUAAGAUUGGGCCACUGCACUCCAGCCUGGGUGACAGAG
rnacentral:snRNA from 1 species